GGCACGUUGGUGUGUUUGGGCAGCAGCGUCUGCAGGACAGGGAAUCCUGGGAAAUGACAGGCGUCGCGGUUGAUCUCGCGCACGGUGGACCUCCCGCCUGCACUGCGCCCCACGUUAAAGCCUGAAGUGGACAAGAGUUGGAUUACAAGAGGAAAGGAGGAGUACCAAUACAUGCCAAUUAAACAGAGAGAGAGAGAGAGACAGAGCUGAAGAGCAGUUUGAGCAGGAUAUCCAGCAGGCGGUUACGGAGCAGGAUCACGUUGGAGGAGAGCAGCCCUCCGAAGUCUUCCUCAUUUCCUAAACAGAAAUAACCUCCAUGACUACGAACUUCUCGCAGACCGCAAACGUGGGCAAGGUGGAGGAAAUGAACUGGCCGAAUCUGAGAAAAACACACACACAAAGCACAGAACAGGUCGUAGGAGCUGGGGAAGCCCUGCAGGAGCAGGCUGAGCACGUUGCUGAUGGC